GACGAACGCUGGCGGCGUGCUUAACACAUGCAAGUCGAACGGAAAGGCCCUGCUUUUGUGGGGUGCUCGAGUGGCGAACGGGUGAUUAACACGUGAGUAACCUGCCCUUGACUUUGGGAUAACUUCAGGAAACUGGGGCUAAUACCGGAUAGGAGCUCCUGCUGCAUGGUGGGGGUUGGAAAGUUUCGGCGGUUGGGGAUGGACUCGCGGCUUAUCAGCUUGUUGGUGGGGUAGUGGCUUACCAAGGCUUUGACGGGUAUCCGGCCUGAGAGGGUGACCGGCCACAUUGGGACUGAGAUACGGCCCAGACUCCUACGGGAGGCAGCAGUGGGGAAUAUUGCACAAUGGGCGGAAGCCUGAUGAAGAAACGCCGCGUGCGGGAUGACGGCCUUCGGGUUGUAAACCGCUUUCGCCUGUGACGAAGCGUGAGUGACGGUAAUGGGUAAAGAAGCACCGGCUAACUACGUG
rnacentral:rRNA from 1 species